rnacentral:rRNA from 1 species
UACAGAGGUGGCAAGCGUUGUUCGGAAUUACUGGGCGUAAAGGGCGCGUAGGCGGCCUCUUUAGUCAGAUGUGAAAUCCCCCGGCUUAACCUGGGAACUGCGUCUGAUACUGGGAGGCUAGAGUUCGGGAGAGGGAUGUAGAAUUCCAGGUGUAGCGGUGAAAUGCGUAGAUAUCUGGAGGAAUACCGGUGGCGAAGGCGGCAUCCUGGACCGAAACUGACGCUGAGGCGCGAAAGCUAGGGGAGCAAACGGG